CCAGCUGUGCCCAGGUGUGCCCAGGUGUGCCCAGGUGUGCCCAGGUGUGUGUGUGUGCGUGUGCUCUGCGUGUGUGCCCAGUGCACCACGAGAUGGAAUCACUCCUUUUCGUUGGCUGAAUUCGUCCUUGGGUUGGUUGUUUUUGUUUUUUGUGGUUUUUUUUUUUAAUUUUAAUUCUUUUUUCUUCUUUUCCUCCCCCCUCCCCUCUUUUCUUUUGUAUCUCGAUCAUUUUUGUACAGAAGAACGAAGCCUUUUUUGAAUAACAAAGAGAAAACAAAAAAAACCAAAAAGACAAAAAAGAAAAAAAAAAAAAAAGGAAAAAAAAAAUCAUGAUGCAAUUUCUUUGGAUUGCAAAAAGCAACUCUUUACAUUUAAGUGAAGUGUCUUAACAUUUUAUAUUGUUUUAAAAAUAUAUUUACAUAUUAUAUAUAUAUAAUAUACGUAAUAUAAAUAUAUAUAUAAAUAUUUAAAGAGAAAAAAAAAAAAGAGAAGAAAUAAAUCGCGUCUGGUAUAUUAGGGGGUGGAUUUUAUCCCUUGGUUAGACUUUAGAGCUCCUUGUGGUUUCUGAGAGGGCCGGUUCUGAGCGGCUUCUUCGUCCUCGUGCUGAGUUCCCAUCCUCCCUCCAGCACUUUUCCUUGUCCCAUCCCCGUCCCCAUCCCUCAGAUCCCCGGGGCUGGGUGGCCCUGGGGACACCGACACCCCCGGGGUGGGACAUUCCCCCCCCUUCCCGGCAGCAAUAGCAGUCACUGGAUGCUUUUAAUUUCCUUUUGGAUUCUUUUUCUUGGUACCAAAGUGAAUCAUUGUAGCAAAGCCGCAGCUUCUUAGGCCAGGAUGGGGGGGGGGUCACCCCCUCCCCUCUCCCCCUGCCCUGUCCCCUCCCCACCCCCCCCCGUGCUUUGCAGCCCCCACCCCCAUCCUGGUGCUUCCCAGAUGCACAAACAAACCCCCCCUUCCCCUCGGGGAGGUGGGAGGGUGACACAAGUGCCACCCCCCACCCCCCCCAGGGACACCCACAGAGGUGUUGGGGGGGCUGCACUCAGUGCAACCCCAUCCCAGGGGUGUCCAGGACACCCACAAAGGUGUUGGGGGGAUUGCACUUAGUGCAACCCCAUCCCAGCAGCACCCAGGGGUGUCCAGGACACCCAUAACGGUUUUGGGGGGGGUCUGUAUUAGUGCAAACCCCAUCCCAUGGGUGUCCAGGACACCCAUAAAGGUUUUUGGGGGGGUCUGUAUUAGUGCAAACCCCAUCCCAUGGGUGUCCAGGACACCCAUAAAGGUUUUGGGGGGGAUCUGUAUUAGUGCAAACCCCAUCCCAGGGGUGUCCAGGACACCCAUAAAGGUGUUUGGGGGGGGUCUGUAUUAGUGCAAACCCCAUCCCAUGGGUGUCCAGGACACCCAUAAAGGUGUCAGGAGGGCUGCACUUAGUGCAACCCCAUCCCAGCAGCACCCAUGGGUGUCCAGGACACCCAUAAAGGUGUUGGGGGGUCUGUAAUUGGUGCAAACCCCAUCCCAUGAGUGUCCAGGACACCCAUAAAGGUUUUGGGGGGGGUCUGUAUUAGUGCAACCCCAUCCCAGGGGUGUCCAGGACACCCAUAAAGGUGUCAGGGGGGGCUGUAUUAGUGCAAACCCUAUUCCAGCAUCACCCAGGGGUGUCCAGGACACCGACCCCACUGUCACACAGCGGGGGGAGGUCCCCACUUUGCCCCAGGAGCCCCCUGCCAGCACUCCCUGCAGGGCAGGAGGGGGUUGGGGUGCCCAGCUCUGGGUUUUUGGGGUGCCCACCUCUGGGUUUUUGGGUGCCCAGCUCUGGGGUGUUGGGGUGCCCA